rnacentral:rRNA from 1 species
UACGAAGGGGCUAGCGUUGCUCGGAAUCACUGGGCGUAAAGCGCACGUAGGCGGAUUGUUAAGUCAGGGUGAAAUCCUGGAGCUUAACUCCGAAACUGCAUUCGAUACUGCCGUGCUUGAGGACUGGAGAGGAGACUGGAAUUUACGGUGUAGCGGUGAAAUGCGUAGAUAUCGUAAGGAAGACCAGUGGCGAAGGCGGGUCUCUGGACAGUUCCUGACGUGAGGCACGAAGGCCGGGAGCAAACGGG